UUGAACGCUGGCGGCAUGCCUUACACAUGCAAGUCGAACGGUGGAGGGGCAACCCUUGAGAGUGGCGAACGGGUGAGUAAUAUAUCGGAACGUGCCCAGUCGUGGGGGAUAACGCAGCGAAAGCUGCGCUAAUACCGCAUACGAUCUAUGGAUGAAAGCGGGGGAUCGCAAGACCUCGCGCGAUUGGAGCGGCCGAUAUCAGAUUAGGUAGUUGGUGGGGUAAAAGCCCACCAAGCCGACGAUCUGUAGCUG
rnacentral:rRNA from 1 species